rnacentral:rRNA from 1 species
UCUUAGACAAUGGGGGAAACCCUGAUCUAGCGAUGCCGCGUGUGUGACGAAGGCCUUAGGGUCAGUAAGCACUUUCGCCAGAGAUGAUAAUGACAGUAUCUGGUAAAGAAACCCCGGCUAACUCCGUGCCAGCAGCCGCGGUAAUACGGAGGGGGUUAGCGUUGUUCGGAAUUACUGGGCGUAAAGCGUACGUAGGCGGAUUAGUAAGUUAGAGGUGAAAUCCCAGGGCUCAACCCUGGAACUGCCUUUAAUACUGCUAGUCUAGAGUUCGAGAGAGGUGAGUGGAAUUCCAAGUGUAGAGGUGAAAUUCGUAGAUAUUUGGAGGAACACCAGUGGCGAAGGCGGCUCACUGGCUCGAUACUGACGCUGAGGUACGAAAGUGUGGGGAGCAAACAGGAUUAGAUACCCUGGUAGUCCACACCGUAAACGAUGAAUGCCAGUCGUCGGGUAGUAUACUAUUCGGUGACACACCUAACGGAGUAAGCAUUCCGCCUGGGGAGUACGGUCGCAAGAUUAAAACUCAAAUGAAUUGAC